GGGUUGGCUUGGUGGGUAGAGCUCAGUCUCGUAACCGAAAGGUCGCGGGAUCGAAUCCCGCUGGAGGCUG
rnacentral:tRNA from 1 species